UUUGAACGUACUAUUCCAUUGACGUAACAUUUAACCGUAAGAUCAUAACAUAGUCUAUAGUUAUGAAUAUAAGUAGGAAUGAAAUCUGAGUUUUUCAUUUAGGUGCAAUCCAACAGGAGAAAAAAUGAAACAUAAAAACAUCAUUCAAAAAGGUAAGGCAUAUUUUGCUAGGCUAUGAUUGCACCUCACUUUGAUUUAUUUUUUUAUUUUUAAUUGACUUAGGCUAUUAAACGUAACGUAAAUAUUAAUUCAGAUUGCAAACAUUGAGUUCUGCUCAGCCAACAGAAAGAAGGCAGAGGCCCGAAAAACGGACACCUCUGUCAGAGGCUGAGGAGCUGGCUCUCAGCCAAUACAGGGGUCGAACUGUGUCUGAAGGCAUCCAAGGGGGAAGCUCAUCUGAGCCUGUCACCCCCCAGGACACAAGUGCCUACAUCAGAUUCAAGUAUACACUUAUGUCUUUUUUUUUUAAAUAAAACUUUUAUAUAUAUAUAUGCAAUCUGAAUUAUAUAGAGGAGGAGGAGACGCUGUCUGCUGCCACAGGGAGAGAUCCGGAGGGGCCUACUGAAGUGUGUCUUAAUAUUAUGUAUAGCUAGUGGCACUGCUCUACCCAUUAAUAUUCAUUUACAUUCUUGAGUGGAAUUUGGAGUUUGACAUGUACACUGAAGUGAUGAGCAUAGAUAAUGGACAAACUAGCACAUUCUUGUGCUUCAACAGAACAUGGCUGGGCAUCACCAUGAGGAGGGUCCAUCAACUUCUAGAGCACAGCUUGACACAUUGCCGGUAAAAGAGUUGUACAGGGUGCACCUAAUGAAAACCAUUCAAAAAACCGAGAAAGAAAUGGUGUACCUGGACCGGCAAAUCAGAAAAACAGACUUGGAAAUUCUAUUACUUGAACGCCAGUUGAGGUGGGUGCAUUGUCAUGGUGAAACAGGUGAAUAUGUGAAAUAUGUUAAUAGUUGGAACUAUAUUACAAAUCCUGACUGUUGCUUUUGUACUUUUAGAGAAUAAAGAAGAACCAAAUCA